CACACCCAGUUGCAUGGUGGGAGUUUGCACCAACUUUUUGUAUGUCUCAUCGCAUGGGUACUGCAGACAAGUUUUGCAUGUGGGUUUUUGCAUGCCUGGUUGCAUGGGAUGGGAGGUUGCAUCUGGGGUGUUGCAUGGAUGAUUGUGCAGGAGGGGUUGCAUGCCCAGUUGAGCACAGGUUUGCACUCCCUGGGGUUAUACCCUCUCCUGGAGGCUCUGAAGGCAGGCAGGACAUGGAGGCAGGCACUUUUCCAGCUUCACUCUUCCUGGCAGACCUGUUCUGGUGCAUCCUCCGCAUGUGCGGUCACUGCAGGCAAGCUCACUGCAAGGCAGGCCAGAGGUUGGCUGAAUGCUCCAGUUGAAAUUUGGAUACUGUUGGCUUUGGGCCUUCAGCUGUCAAUGCCCCGUUAGCGUCUCCCCACCAAUGGCUGCGUGGGCCUUGCGGUUAAAAUUGCAAAAAAAGCCACAAAUUAAGGAUCUGAAAACUCCUCCAAUAGGGAGACACACAGGGGAUGAUGUGAUGUGAAAGCAAAACUGCAGGCAAAACCCGCUGGGUCCUGCCAGCUCUGGCCAAAUCUUGGUCUGGGCUUCCCACAACCCUGCCAUAGCUGAGAAGAAGCUGCUGUUGUUGCUGUUACUUUGCAUUAUAUUUUGUUGAUAUGCACAAAGGCAGCUUUGCAAACAUACAUGAUAUAUAGGGGAAGGUAGAUGUGUGAGCAAACAGCUCUGUAAUAGCGUAAUUCUUUAAUUUUGAGGCAGCUCUGGGUGGAUAUAUAUGGUUCAUAUACAUCUGGAAGCAUGGAAAACAUUUUUGCUACUUAAAUAAUAUUUCUAUAUUUAAAAUAUGGAAAAUACAGAAUCCAGUGGCUGCUGAAUCAUGCCUGUAAGCCCCCAACAUCCUUAAUGGUAAGUACAGGCAGGAGUGCUUUGCCAGCCUGGAAGUGUUAGUUCCUCCUAGACAAGAAAUUCCAAAUAUUUAUAUGUUGAUUCUUUUAACUUUGAGACACAAAUAGCCAGAGACAUUUUGGCAACUCUGUGACAGAACACAAAAAAAAAAAACAAACCCAAAAAAACAACAUAGGAAUCUCUGCGGGUCUUUUCUGCUUUGUGUAAACUGAGCAGAGAAAAUAUUUCCUGUUUCAGGAUCAGAUAGUGAGUAGUGAGAGCUCAGCCAGCCUGUUUCUCUGGUUAUUUGAGAAGGGGUUAAAAAUAGGGUCAAAAUGACCUAAUCUUGUCAAUUCGGUGCCAUAUUUGGUUGGGAAGGUAUUGUAUUUUAGGGGAUCUCGAAUACAAAGUCACCCCCUGAUGUAGGAAAAAUAAGGGGUGGGUUUGCUGAAGGGGAGAAUCCAUCACAACGCUGCGUGUGGUACUGAGGGCAGAGCAUGGCUUUGUCUGAAAUGGAAAUUUAUUGGUCAUAGCUGAUACUGAAGUGAUUAAAAAUACACAUUUGGAAAUAAAAAUUUACUGGGGGAGUUGGGGCAGGGUUUAAGACUGGCAAUAUUCUGUCAUUGCAGAAUUGUACUUAUUGCUUACUUCACCUAUAUUGGGGGGUUUACACCAGGUCCACGAUCCUCCAGGAUUGGCAUUCCGCACAUCAGGAUCAAUUUCAUUUCAAAUUUAUUGUCUGCUUUUGAACAGCAGCAGAAAAAAGCAUUUCAGGGUAAAAGCUGAACCUACGAAGGAUCUCUAACGUUGCUGCUCAGCCAGGAAAAAAAAAGGAGUGUAUUCAGUCAGACAGUGGAACAAAUAUUCGGCAGCCCCCAGGCCAGACACUGGCCUUGCACCUCGUCUCUGCCAGUUUGCUCCAGGAGUCCUGGUCUGAGAGGCGUGAAGUAAAUGGAAGAAAAAUGGGAGAGUUAAGCAAUAAAAGGAGGAUUAUGGGGUGGGGUUUUUUUGUUUGUUUGUUUCUGAUCCAGUUGCUCCAUGUGGUGACGAUGGGAAUGGUUUGUGUUCUCAGUGUCAGGGCUUUAAGGAUCUGACGUAAGGUUGGUAUUGGUGGACUACCAGGACAGAGUGAAGGCAGUAACUUAGGAAUAAUAAAUACAGGAGACCAGCCCCAGCCCUCAUCAGUAAUUGUAUAAAUGUGCACAAAUUCAUCUUAACAAGUCUCUAAAAAAAGGGGGUUGUGAACCCCAGGGCCAGUCACCUCCUUGCGGGCCCCAUGGAGGGUGGCUUCGAGCUGCUCUUCCGUAGCUCUGUGGUUUUGUGCCCAUCGCUGGUGGUUUUGGGGGUGAAACCAGGGCACUGCUAACCACCCACACCCCCCCGGGGUUGCUCCUGUACAAGUGCUGUGCAAAAAGCAGGAUCACAAAGAUCUGGAGUGAGAAACAAGCCCUAAAAACACCCCAGCCCCCUCUCCCCCCCUGCCCUGCUCUGUUUUGUUCUUUUUGCAUCCAUGAGGUCGCAGGGGCUGGAAUCACCUUCUGAGGCUGGACCACAUUAAAUGCAUCCAAAAACUGCAGUUACCCCCCCACCGCGGGAUAGCAGAAGGUGAGCAGUUUUGCAUCAAACCUUGCUCUGGGAUUCCGCUGCGCUCUCGCAAAGCCCCCAUGGGAUGCAGCUCCCCCGGGAUGUCAGGCUAAGAUGAGGUGCAGCAGAAUUUGUUUCUCAGAAGAGUUUGAUAAAGCCCUGCUAGAAAACACCAGAGCCCUUGAGAGACCUGCUGCUUGCUUCUUGCCUGACAAUAACUAGGAAAGUUUGCAAACCCAGAGGGAAAUCCUCUUUGUGUUAAAGCAGCUUAUCCCAUGGAGGUUUGCUGGGAGAGCUGGGUGGCCGUUGGCAGAGCCGAGGGGCGGGCGGGCAUCACAUGGGCAGUGAAAAAAGGGGUAAAUCUGGGAAAGCAACUUGUGAAAGCAUCCGGACGCAGUGUGGGAGGGUGGCUUCACCCCCAGCUUCGGGUGCGGACUGAGGACAAACGCUCGACUUUACCGUCAGAAAGAGCCCCGGGUGAGAUCUUGGUUUUCCUAUUAGAAACGCAGGCAUGCCUUUCCAAAGAAAAAGAAUUAAAAUAACACCUUAAACUCUUAAUAUUUUCACUGAUACAAGUGCACCUGCUCACUUUUAGUAUCACAUGCAAGACUGCAGGUCCCGUAACAGAAAACCUGAGAUUUUCCCCCGGUUGGAGCUCCCUGGCUUGGACCUGGAGCGUUGGGCGUGGCCAAGGAUGGUCCAGCUGGAGCAGAGCCUGGCCACACAAACCGAUGCUUUUCCUACCACUUGCAGGAAGGUGGAUUUAGUGUUGCAAGAAAAAAAGAGCAUUUAUAAACUAAAGAGAUUUUGGUGAAUAAUAGCAGCUUUGGGAAAGUGGGUUGAGAAUCAAAACGCUGUGUGUUCAGGAGUUAUUUUCUGGAGCUCUCCUAGGCAAAGCUCAGCAUUUUUUAUCAAAUUUAUAGCAGCGAGGAGCCAGGAGGUGGCACUGGCUGGCAGCGCAUUUGGGUCUCGCUCCCUUCAGCAGCUCCUGUCCCUGGUUCAGAGCCUCUUGGCUUCCCCAGAAAAUAAAAUACUUAUAUUUUUCAAGGUUAGGAGCCUAGAUAACCUCACAAGCCGGGGUGCGAAGACGGCAGGACGGACUGGUGAUGGCACCAUCUGUGGCAUCGCUGCUCUGUGGGUGUAGAGGAGAUGGAUGGGUUUAGGUUGUACCCGCUCCAGCAGUUCGGGGAAUUUCCGCUUGGGGUUUUGAGGGCGAGUUUGAGGGACCUUGAAGGUCUGUGGACCUGGGGGCCGUGUGGACGUGACCACUGUGAGGUCUGCCUCUUGGGUUGACUCAACCUCCGUUGACUUGUGGGAGCUCCAAGACCAUGGAGGAGCACCUGGAUCAGCUGGGCCAAGAGGAGCCUUAGAAACUCUCAUUUCCUGACCAACAAAACCCGUUGCUGGCACAGUUUGUUCUGCGUGGGGAGCUGGUGGGGGCUGUAUCAGUUGGAGGGGUGUUUUUUUUUGUCCAGCUUGUCAUUGCACUGCGGAUAGUGCUGGUGUUUCUAGAAAAUAAAUGGUAUUAAGAGCAAU